rnacentral:rRNA from 1 species
AUAGUAGUGUCGAGAGUUUGAUCCUGGCUCAGGAUGAACGCUAGCGAUAGGCUUAACACAUGCAAGUCAGGGGUAACAUGGGAGUAGCUUGCUACUUCUGAUGACGACCGGCGGAUGGGUGAGUAACGCGUAUGCAACUUGCCUCUUAGUGGGGAAUAACCCGGAGAAAUCCGGACUAAUACCGCAUACACUUAGUUAUCCGCAUGGAUGAUUAAGGAAAGAUUUAUCACUAUGAGAUGGACUCGCGUCUGAUUAGCUAGUUGGCGGGGUAAAGGCCCACCAAGGCGACGAUCAGUAGCCGAUCUGAGAGGAUGGACGGCCACAUUGGGACUGAGACACGGCCCAG